CCUAGCUGUGUUGGCUUUCUAACCCGCACCACUUAUCGUGGUGGGAGACAGUGUCAGGCGGGCAGUUUGACUGGGGCGGUCGCCUCCUAAAAGGGAACGGAGGCGCUCAAAGGGUCCCUCAGAAUGGGUGGAAAUCAUUCAUAGAGUGGAAAGGCAUAAGGGAGCUUGACUGCGAGACCUACAAGUCGAGCAGGGUCGAAAGACGGACUUAGUGAUCCGGUGGUUCCGCAUGGAAGGGCCA
rnacentral:rRNA from 1 species